rnacentral:rRNA from 1 species
AACGAACGCUGGCGGCAUGCCUAACACAUGCAAGUCGAACGAGACCUUCGGGUCUAGUGGCGCACGGGUGCGUAACGCGUGGGAACCUGCCCUUAGGUUCGGAAUAACUCUCCGAAAGGGGUGCUAAUACCGGAUAAUGUCUUCGGACCAAAGAUUUAUCGCCUUUGGAUGGGCCCGCGUUGGUUUAGCUAGUUGGUAGGGUAAAAGCCUACCAAGGCGACGAUCCAUAGCUGGUCUGAGAGGAUGAUCAGCCACACUGGGACUGAGACACGGCCCAGACUCCUACGGGAGGCAGCAGUGGGGAAUAUUGGACAAUGGGGGAAAGCCUGAUGCAGCAAUGCCGCGUGAGUGAUGAAGGCCUUAGGGUUGUAAAGCUCUUUUACCCGGGAUGAUAAUGACAGUACCGGGAGAAUAAGCUCCGGCUAACUCCGUG